rnacentral:rRNA from 1 species
GAUGAACGCUAGCUAUAGGCUUAACACAUGCAAGUCGAGGGGAAACGGCAUUAUGUGCUUGCACAUUUUGGACGUCGACCGGCGCACGGGUGAGUAUCGCGUAUCCAACCUGCCCUUUACUUGGGGAUACCCCGUUGAAAGACGGCCUAAUACCCGAUGUAAUUCAUUGAUGGCAUCAGAUAUGAAUAAAAGAUUUAUCGGUAAAGGAUGGGGAUGCGUCUGAUUAGCUUGUUGGUGAGGUAACGGCUCACCAAGGCGACGAUCAGUAGGGGUUCUGAGAGGAAGGUCCCCCACAUUGGAACUGAGACACGGUCCAAACUCCUACGGGAGGCAGCAGUGAGGAAUAUUGGUCAAUGGGCGCAAGCCUGAACCAGCCAAGUAGCGUGCAGGAAGACGGCCCUAUGGGUUGUAAACUGCUUUUAUACGAGAAUAAUUUGAUGCACGUGUGCGUUAUUGCAUAUAUCGUAUGAAUAAGGACCGGCUAAUUCCGUG